GAUGAAGAACGCAGCGAAAUGCGAUACGUAAUGUGAAUUGCAGAAUUCAGUGAAUCAUCGAAUCUUUGAACGCAUAUUGCGCUCUCUGGUAUUCCGGAGAGCAUGCUUGUUUGAGUAUCAGUAAACACCUCAACUUCCAUAUCUUUUUUGAAAUGGGAGUUGGACUUGAGUGAUCCCAACGCUUUUCCUCACCGAAAAGUGGCGGGUUACUUGAAAUGCAGGUGCAGCUGGACUUUUCUCUGAGCUAUAAGCAUAUCUAUUUAGUCUGCCUAAAAAACAGAUUAUUACCUUUGCUGCAGCUAACAUAAAGGAGAUUAGUUCUUGUGCUGACUGAUGCAGGAUUCACAAAGACAGGCUUCGGCCGACUUUGUAAACUCGAUCUCAAAUCAAGUAAGACUACCCGCUGAACUUAAGCAUAUCACUAAGCGGAGGA
rnacentral:misc_RNA from 1 species